GACGAACGCUGGCGGCGUGCUUAACACAUGCAAGUCGAACGGAAAGGCCCUGCUUUUGUGGGGUGCUCGAGUGGCGAACGGGUGAGUAACACGUGAGUAACCUGCCCUUGACUUUGGGAUAACUUCAGGAAACUGGGGCUAAUACCGGAUAGGAGCUCCUGCUGCAUGGUGGGGGUUGGAAAGUUUCGGCGGUUGGGGAUGGACUCGCGGCUUAUCAGCUUGUUGGUGGGGUAGUGGCUUACCAAGGCUUUGACGGGUAGCCGGCCUGAGAGGGUGACCGGCAAAAUGGGGACUGGGAUACGCCCCAGACUCCUACGGAGGCAGCAGUGGGGAAUAUUGCACAAUGGGCGGAAGCCUGAUGCAGCAACGCCGCGUGCGGGAUGACGGCCUUCGGGUUGUAAACCGCUUUCGCCUGUGAUGAAGCGUGAGUGACGGUAAUGGGUAAAGAAGCACCGGCUAACUACGUG
rnacentral:rRNA from 1 species